rnacentral:rRNA from 1 species
AAAGAGUUAAAUAAUUAUAAAAGUUAUUGUAGCAAAAUUAUUUUAAAUAUUUAUUUUGAAAUGAAAUGUUAUUCGUUUUUAAAUAUAUCUAGUUUUUUUAGAAAAAAAUUUAAUUUUAAAUUUAUUAAUAAUUUAAAUUAAUUGAUUAAUUUAAUUAUUAUUAAUUUUUAUAUUUUAAGGGAUAAGCUUUAAAUUAAAUUUUUAUAAUAAAAAAAUUUUUUUAUUUUGAUAAUUUUAUAAUUUAUAUUGUUAAUAAAUUUUAUUUUAUUAUAAAUAAUUUCAAAUUUUAUAAAAUUUAAAAAUUUUUAUUUAAUUUUUUAUAAAAACAUAAUUUUUAAUAAAAAAAAAUUAAAAAUAAUGAUAAAAUUAGUAUAUUUAUUUAUAAUAAGAAUUAAUUUAAUUUUAAAUUAUUAAUAAUAAAUUAAUUAAUUAAAAGGAAUUCGGCAAAUAUUUAUUUUCACUUGUUUAUCAAAAACAUGUCUUUUUGUGGUUUAUUUAAAGUCUAAUCUGCCCACUGAAUUUAAUUAAAGGGCUGCAGUAUAUUGACUGUACAAAGGUAGCAUAAUCAUUAGUCUCUUAAUUGGUGACUUGUAUGAAAGAUUGGAUGAAAAAUAUACUGUCUCUUAAUUAUUUUAUAGAAUUUAAUUUUUUAUUUAAAAAGUUAAAAUAUAUUAAAAAGACGAGAAGACCCUAUAGAGUUUAAUAAUUAUUUUUAUUAAUAAAUUAUUUAUAUAAUAUGAAAAUUUUUAUAAAAUUAUUUAUUUUAUUGGGGUGAUGAAAAAAUAUAUUAAACUUUUUUUAAAAAUUAAACAAAAAUAAUUGAUUAAAUGAUCCAAUUUUAUUGAUUAUAAGAUUAAAUUACCUUAGGGAUAACAGCGUAAUUUUUUUUUUUAGUUCAAAUAAGAAAAAAAGUUUGCGACCUCGAUGUUGGAUUAAGAUAAAAUUUAAAUGCAAAAGUUUAAAAUUUUUG